AUCGCUUCUCAGCCUUUUGGCUAAGAUCAAGUGUAAAAUUAACCCUCCUAAAUGCUACUUUAAUUCUGUUCCCCAUCCCCAACCUGAAUUUAAUUUUCUUAUUUGAUCUAAGGAAGCAUAGUUUUAAUUAAUAACUUUACACAAUCAUAUGAAGGGUGCUUUAUCCCUUUUUAAGUUAAUUUUUA
ensembl:snRNA U2 U2 spliceosomal RNA